CGUUCUUGACAAUUCUGGGCAGAAUGCGCUAUCGGCACUGGAUCUGUCUUCAGUGCCGAGGGGACCGGUGCCGAGGAGAGCGUCCCGCUGCGGGAAGUUGGGUCCCUGCCUUUGUGCUCCACAUGAGCCAUGGCUGAGGUGCAGGGGCGGUCGGAGGCACCUGCUUUUGGCGCUGUCAGCACGGAGGGUAAAGAUCUUGCAGGAUCUUUACCCUUUUGAAAGUUUCUGUGCAGAGACAUUUGGGCUUCCUGCCUCUUCGCUUGAGAGGGUGAAGCCAUACUCCUGAUCGGUUCUGACUUAGCCAGGGAGCAUGAGGGAGAGGGUUCACUAUUGCCCAUCUCCAUAAGCGACUGUAGGGAUUUCGCCAUCAGGAGCAUUUUUAUCCACAAGUCCCUGUUACGACGAGCCCUGGUUUUCAGUAACCAAGGAAGAGGUUAGCACUGCCCUGAGUCCCGUCUUCAGCUGAGGACGGUUGAGAAGGAACUGAGGGGGGUUCAGGACACGCACGCUCAGGCAGUCCCUGACGAUGACACGAGACAGCAGCUGAGCGCGUGCAUCCCGACCAGGCACUGCUACUGAAGAUCUCUGACUAACAGCACCGGGACGCACCAUCACCUGGAGCGGAGCACCCUCAAGGACAGCACUCGAAGAAGAAGAGAACCUUUCCUGAAAGCUCAGAGAAGGGUCUCCAUCCUCAGCAGCGUAGAUUUCCUGGAGGGAGGAGGAGUGGUUGGGCAAUUUACUACCCCUGCUGGUAGUGUGGGAUCUUCUUGCUGGUAGAGCGGGCACACAGAUGAUGGCUCCUCAUUUUCCACUACUGGCGUCUCGUUUCUAGGAGACUGACUAGGAACCCUGCUUUGGUGCAAUGGGAGCCUCUCUGGAGGGCGAUGAUUAUCCCAUCACCGUAAAAUAUAAAAGAGACCAGUCACUGUACGUCAGAUCCGGACAACCUCAUGGGAUUUCCCCCCCAGGCACUCUCAAGAACCUCUGAAAUCCAGUGCUGUGGCAGUUAAGACAAACCCAGCAGCUGAUCCUUUGGCUCCUGCUGCAGCAGAGGUAGGGCUAAGGCUCUCCUCUGAAGGAGGUGCCACCCCUCCACUCCCUAGAAGAGACCUGGUAGUAGAAGGUGGAGUAGCCUGCUGAGUCAAAAUGACACAGCAGGUUUGACGGAGCCAGGGCCUGGGGUGGGUAGGACAUACCAGCCGUGGUGCCAUUCGGGCCCCUGAGGUUCAGAUAGACAUCCGGCUGGAAGGGUGAUAAUCAGAACCCUUUAAAAGUCAGCCCAUCCCUAAUUUAAAUAUGCAUUUGAACCCUGCUGCUUUAUUGUAUCACAGAAUUUUUAAAAUUUUUGUUCAAGAUUAAUACCUCUCAGACAUGGGUCUGUUUGUGACAUGGCAGGAGCAGCGGUGGGCAAAGCUGGGCCACUUUCAAAACUGGCUUGUGGGAGGGGAGAAAAAGCCCCAUCACCUUCUCACCACAGAGGUGAGCGUCCCCAAUCCCAAAGGCAGCGGGGAAGGUGUAAACUGUGCAGUGUACCAGUUAAAGGAGCAGUGAUCUUCAACAGUGAAUGAUUAAAGGGAUGGUGUCAGGUAAACACAGGCCCACACUAUUGGUUUUAUGACCCAAAAAGCAGUAUUUGGCCAAACUAGAACUGUUUCCAUGGAUUCUUUUUUAAUUUAAAAAAGUUUCCUGUGGAAAUUUGUAUUUCCCCACCUGAAAACAGCAGCAAGUGUGCUGAUUGGGAAGGAACUGAAUAAUUAAAUUGAUUCUAAACAGCAGCCAAACAGACCACAGUGCAAAAAGUAAAUCGUUAAUGGAACACAAAUUAGAUUCUUAGCUAAAAUCAUUUUAGCUUUAACAUCCUGGGAAAUUAAUAGAACUGCAUGGUCUAUAAAUCGGGGCAGAGCUGGUCUUUACAAAAUUAUUUAGUGUGUGUUAAAAGAGUUAAGGAAAUUAUGCUUUUUAAAGAUGCAUCCAAUUCAUCCCAAGAUAAACUCCACUGGCUUUAAAGAUGAAUUUCUCCCCAAUUUAAAAA